rnacentral:rRNA from 1 species
CAGCAGCCACGGUAAUACGGAGGGUGCAAGCGUUAUCCGGAUUUAUUGGGUUUAAAGGGUCCGUAGGCGGACUUAUAAGUCAGUGGUGAAAGCCUGUCGCUUAACGAUAGAACUGCCAUUGAUACUGUAAGUCUUGAGUAUAUUUGAGGUAGCUGGAAUAAGUAGUGUAGCGGUGAAAUGCAUAGAUAUUACUUAGAACACCAAUUGCGAAGGCAGGUUACCAAGAUAUAACUGACGCUGAGGGACGAAAGCGUGGGUAGCGAACAGGAUUAGAUACCCCUGUAGUCCCUGUCUCUUAUAA